CAGUCGCCACGGGAAUACGGAGGGUGCAAGCGUUAUCCGGAUUUAUUGGGUUUAAAGGGUCCGUAGGCGGACUUAUAAGUCAGUGGUGAAAGCCUGUCGCUUAACGAUAGAACUGCCAUUGAUACUGUAAGUCUUGAGUAUAUUUGAGGUAGCUGGAAUAAGUAGUGUAGCGGUGAAAUGCAUAGAUAUUACUUAGAACACCAAUUGCGAAGGCAGGUUACCAAGAUAUAACUGACGCUGAGGGACGAAAGCGUGGGUAGCGAACAGGAUUAGAUACCCGAGUAGUCCCUGUCUCUUAUAC
rnacentral:rRNA from 1 species